rnacentral:lncRNA from 1 species
GGGCAAAAGUCCAGGCUCCGGAGUCCCCCACUCCCUGCUCAGCCACAAGCCAGGAAGAACCAAAAGUGAAAACAAGUUUAGCCCAUGAGGCAGAGGACAGGCAUAAACCUGGUGUCCCUGCGGUCCCUGAAAUAUGGGUAGAAAGUGCUCCCCGAGGGGACUACAGACCCAAAGACUCUCCAGUUUCAGAUUUCAAGGCCCUUCAAUCAAGUAUCCAGCAGCCACCUUCCCUCAAGCCUCAUCCCAGGUAGGGUCACCUUGAGGCCUCCGAGACAGGGCCAGGCCACAGCCAGCCACCACCGACUCGUAG